UACGUAGGGUGCGAGCGUUAAUCGGAAUUACUGGGCGUAAAGCGUGCGCAGGCGGUUUUGUAAGCCAGAUGUGAAAUCCCACGGCUCAACCGUGGAAGUGCCUCUGAUACUGGCCAUCUCGAGGGAGGUAGGGGCGUGCGGAACUUCCGGUGGAGCGGUGAAAUGCGUAGAUAUCGGAAGGAACGCCGGUGGCGAAAGCGGCGCGCUGGACCUCUUCUGACGCUGAGGCGCGAAAGCCAGGGGAGCAAACGGG
rnacentral:rRNA from 1 species